GAUCCUGGCUCAGGACGAACGCUGGCGGCGUGCCUAACACAUGCAAGUCGAGCGGGGAUACAGGGAACGGAGGCUUCGGCGGAAGGGAGCUGUAUUCUAGCGGCGGACGGGUGAGUAACGCGUGAACAAUCUGUCCCAUACAGGGGGAUAACACUUGGGAAACAGGUGCUAAUACCGCAUAAGACCACAGCACCGCAUGAUGCAGGGGUCAAAGGAGCAAUCCGGUAAGGGGUGAGUUCGCGUCUGAUUAGCUAGUUGGUGAGGUAACGGCCCACCAAGGCGACGAUCAGUAGCCGACCUGAGAGGGUGAUCGGCCACAUUGGAACUGAGACACGGUCCAAACUCCUACGGGAGGCAGCAGUGGGGAAUAUUGGGCAAUGGGCGAAAGCCUGACCCAGCAACGCCGCGUGAGGGAAGAAGGUUUUCGGAUUGUAAACCUCUGUUGUGGAUGACGAAGGAAGUGACGGUAAUCCACAAGGAAGCCCCGGCUAACUACGUGCC
rnacentral:rRNA from 1 species